AGCGGGAUGAGAAUCUGAGUMCGGCUCCGCACACCAGUUGUAAUCUUCUGCAAGUACGGCGUYGGCCGAGUACGCAAGGAAAGGCUUUCGUCACACGGAUAACACUGGUAAUUCUGAGGCUAAUACGAGAACGUACGUCUUUUUAGAGUUGAGGYUUGUAUUCAGMUACGGCUUUUCUCGCUAAUAGAGGGGAGUGUGCGCUUUUAGCACGGAGUUUUCCAGGAUCAGUCGCACGCUUUGACUGCGCCAAAAACGAUAGGUUCGCUUCGGCGUUUCGUUCGAGCAGCUCUUGGAAGGUGCUUCUGCCCUAUCAAUAGCAGACACGUGUAACGUAGSCGCCAGCGCAACAAC
rnacentral:rRNA from 1 species